GACGAACGCUGGCGGCAUGCCUAAUACAUGCAAGUCGAGCGAACAGAUGAAGUGCUUGCACUUCUGACGUUAGCGGCGAACGGGUGAGUAACACGUAAGGAAUCUACCUAUAAGCGGGGGAUAACAUUCGGAAACGGGUGCUAAUACCGCAUAAUAUCUUCUUCCGCAUGGAAGAAGAUUGAAAGACGGCUCUGCUGUCACUUAUAGAUGACCUUGCGGUGCAUUAGUUAGUUGGUGGGGUAACGGCCUACCAAGACGAUGAUGCAUAGCCGACCUGAGAGGGUGAUCGGCCACAUUGGGACUGAGACACGGCCCAAACUCCUACGGGAGGCAGCAGUAGGGAAUCUUCCGCAAUGGGCGAAAGCCUGACGGAGCAAUGCCGCGUGAGUGAAGAAGGCUUUCGGGUCGUAAAACUCUGUUAUAAGAGAAGAACAAAUUGUGGAGUAACUGCUACAGUCUUGACGGUAUCUUAUCAGAAAGCCACGGCUAACUACGUGCCAGCCGCCGCCGUAA
rnacentral:rRNA from 1 species